UAUGAAUUGUGUUUUAUACUUUAUAAAUCUAUCUUCAUGCCUGCAGUGGCUCACACCUGUAAUCCAAGUAUUUUGGGAGGCCGGGGCGGGAGUACUGCUUGAACCCAGGAGUCCAAGAUCAGCCUGUGCAACACGGCAAAACUCCACCUCUACAAAAAAUACAAAAAUUAGCUGGGUGUGGUGGCAGGUGCCUGUAAUCCCAACUACUUGGGAGGCUGAGGCAGGAGAAUCGCUGGAGCCUGGGAAGUCAAGCCUGCAGCGAACCAUGAUCCUAACACUGCAUUCUAGCCUGGGCAACAGAGUGAGACUCUGUCUCAAAAAAAAUCUUCAUAUAAAAAUAUUUAUUUCCCCCCAAGUAUUUAAAAAGUGAUGUUCCUAGAAGAUGUGUCAUGUUUAUCCUGUGAACUUGCACGUCCCAUAUAGUUGUGCCCUCACAAGAAUGUAUACUCCAAUUAGAAGAGUAUAGGCCUUUGGAACAAAAUCCAAAAUCCUUCCAGGUUUUCAAAAGUCUCUAUCACCUGGCCCCAAAUUACCUCUUCAGCCAUUUUUUCCCACAACACAAACCUUCUGCUCUCAUCAAAACGAUCUACUUUUAAACAUCUCCUCUAUGCCUUCCUAAUGUAUUCCAUUUGUCUAGAAUGUCUCCCCACACAUUUCUGAUUGGCUAGAUUGUGCCGUAUUUUAAGGUGCAGAUAUCUCAAUUCUUCCACAAAUAUUCUAGUAAAUGGCAGCUUGUUCAUCUGAAACCACACAGAAUUACUGUCCAUACACCUCAAAUGGCACUUAGUGAGAAAAUACACAGAAUAUGGCAAAUCAUAAUAAUAAAAAUUCUGAAAAAUAGUACUAAAAGCUCCAAAAGCAUCAAAGAUAGUCAGUUUACCUGAUUUUAGUGAAUUACUGAAAAAUUUCUAUAUCAAGAGUUUAUUUUGAACCAGUAUGAAUUUUACUGAAACCAAGUACACACAUGUCUCAUUAUGAGGUAAUCUAGUGUAGUAUAAUCUAUUUCCAUACACUCUGUCAUCCUGGAAUCAGCAUAUUUUCAUGCUUGUAUCUUUACUUCCUAAUAGCAUAACUCAUGGAAGUCAACUAACUCAUUCAUUAAUUUUAGAAAUGGUAUUCAUUAAACAACACUUAUUGAGCAUCUACUAUUUGUCUCCUUUAAAAAACAUAUUCCAAAUUUGUACUCAUAUAUACUCUACCUUCUGCUGUAGGAUAAUCAAAUUUCCUUGUGAUUUUUUUCCCCAUCACUAACAGCCAUAAACUCUGCACUUAUGUAUGUACUACUGAGUGAUUAUCAAACACAGCAGUUUUAAAAAUGAAAAGAAAGUGACCCAACAAUUGGCCCUUUUAUCAAAGUCCAAAGUAUUAUCAUGGCAAAUCAACUAGGGUAAAAUUACUUAACUGGUGCACAGUUCAAGGUCAUGAAAGUAGCACUAACAAUCCUCUAUUAUAACCCUUAAUAAAAUGAGGUUUUAAUGACAUUUUAGGAAAUAUAAAAUAAACUUAAGAAUUCUAUCUAAAAUACAAAGGCUGUUUUUCCUAAAUUCAUGUUUAGUCCUAAGAACAGUCAUACAUCUAAUAAAAUGACUGGGUAUAUAAUUUGAAAGAGCAAUAAAUUACUACCUUGAAGAUGUAAGGUUGUAGCUAUUUAUCUUAAAAUACACAGUCAAACCUCAGUUUCCACACCCAAUAGAUGGGAAUAAUAAUCCUGUCAAAUCUAUUAAUACUUCAUGGGAUUGUAAUCAUCAAGCCAGAUAAUGUAUUUGAAUAGCUUUAUGAACUAUAAAGUUCUAAACAAAUGUAUAUACUUUUUAAAAAC
rnacentral:lncRNA from 1 species